CCUCUCUUCCUUCCAACAGGGCUGAAGUAAGGUCCUUACUUUCCUCUCGAUACAUUGGCAGCUCCAAAUCCAAACAUUUCAACCCUCCCCAACCCCCACACGCCUUCAGAAUCACGCCCAACUUCAUCCCAGUCUCCUUCCCCCGAACGUCCUUCCUGGUAAACGUGCACUCUUAGAAAAUGCAAUAUCUUUUCAUGAAGUAAAAUGGAACGUUAUGCGCUUUAAAGUAAACCUCACUUGAUUCGAAGUAAAAUGGUCAACUUCAUUCAAAGUAAUGACAAAAGUCACCAAAUGUGAAGUAAAACCACUAUUUUCUAAACCACAAAGUAAACUAUUAGACCAUUUAGAGUAAGCAAACCCCAUUUAGGAUAUUCUUGGUCAAACCAGACGCUGACUUUUCCCUCGCUCUGAUUACAACUCGCAGCUCAGCCAGUCAGUGCUGGUUAGUUAAAUUGAUAAUUAAUUAAUUAGUUAGUUAACUCAUAAGCAAAUAAUGGAGGAAACGAGGAGGUUAUUGCAACAAUUUGGACGGGGACGCUGAAGGAUGACGAUAUUACGGACGAGACUCUGUUAAUAAUUUCAGAAGAAAAUUGUCAGGUUUUCUAGGUCAUUUUAGGUCGCCUUUGGAAUGCAUUGUACAAUUUGUGAGAACUUAGCUAGUAUAUCUUUGUUUUAAGUGCAAAACUAAUUUUAAAACUUUAGUAUAACAUUUAAAAAAUUUUCUUAAGUUAACAGGGUCCAGCGUUUACAAAUAUCCUCACUAGUGGUUCAUAAUAAGGGUAAUUUGUAAUGCAAUGUUGAAUGUGAAAUAAAAUAUAUUAUUAA